GGUCAGUAUGAGUUGGCAUGUAUUACACUAAUUUACUUCUGAAGUAGAUAAAAUCUCUAGAAUUAGGCUGAAAUCUU